CGGGAUGUAGCUCAGCCUGGACGAGAGCGCGUGCUUGGGGUGCACGAGGCCGUCGGUUCAAAUCCGGCCAUCCCGA
rfam:Archangium gephyra strain DSM 2261, complete genome.